GGGCCCGCACAAGCAGUGGAGUAUGUGGUUUAAUUCGAAGCAACGCGAAGAACCUUACCAGGUCUUGACAUCGUGCGCAUAGCAUAGAGAUAUGUGAAGCCCUUCGGGGCGCACAGACAGGUGGUGCAUGGUUGUCGUCAGCUCGUGUCGUGAGAUGUUGGGUUAAGUCCCGCAACGAGCGCAACCCUUAUUAUUAGUUGCUACGCAAGAGCACUCUAAUGAGACUGCCGUUGACAAAACGGAGGAAGAUGGGGAUGACGUCAAAUCAUCAUGCCCCUUAUGACCUGGGCUACACACGUACUACAAUGGCACUUAAACAGAGGGUCGCGACAACGCGAGUUGAAGCAAAUCCCGAAAAAGUGUACUCAGUUCGGAUCGCAGGCUGCAACCCGCCUGCGUGAAGUCGGAAUUGCUAGUAAUCGCAGAUCAGCAUGCUG
rnacentral:rRNA from 1 species